rnacentral:rRNA from 1 species
GAUGAACGCUGGCGGCGUGCCUAAUACAUGCAAGUCGAGCGAACAGACGAGGAGCUUGCUCCUCUGACGUUAGCGGCGGCCGGGUAAGUAACACGUGGAUAACCUACCUAUAAGACUGGGAUAACUUCGGGAAACCGGAGCUAAUACCGGAUAACAUGUUGAACCGCAUGGUUCAACAGUGAAAGACGGUCUUGCUGUCACUUAUAGAUGGAUCCGCGCCGCAUUAGCUAGUUGGUAAGGUAACGGCGUACCAAGGCAACGAUACGUAGCCGACCUGAGAGGGAGAGCGGCGACAAUGAAACUGAGACUCAGCCCAUACUCCUAUGUGAGGAAUCAGUAGGGCAUAGAGAGCACUGAGCGAACGGCUGACGGAGCAACGCAGCGGGAGUGAAGAAGGGUUUCGGAUCGGAUAAGGCUAGUAGGAGGAAAGACCAAAUGUGACAGUAACUCUGCACGUCUUGACUUUACUUAUUCAGAAAGCUCCGGCUAAAUACGUG